GACAACUCGCGGGGAUUGUUUUCCACACCGUGGAAGCUUUGUUCUUUUCGUUUUUUGCAAUAAAUCUUGUUGCUGCUCGCUUUUUGGGUCCACAUUGCUUUUAUGAGCUGUACCACUCACCGUGAAGAUCUGCAGCUUCACUUCAGAGCCUAGCGAGACCACAAGCUCACUGAGAGGAACAAACAACUCCAGACGCGCUGUCUUAAGAGCUAUAACACUCACCGCGAAGGUGUGCAGUUUCACUCCUGAGCUAGUGAGACUACGAAGCCACUGGAACGAAGAAACUCCAACCACGUUUGAACAUCAGAAGGGGCAGACUCCAGACGCUUCAUCUUAAGAGCUGUAACACUCACUGUGAAGGUCUGCAGCUUCACUCCUGAGCCAGCGAGACCACGAACCGAUCUGAACAUCAGAAGGGACAGACUCCAGAUGCCCCACCUUAAGAGCUGUAAUACUCACUGCAAGGGUCUGCAGCUUCAUUCUUGAAGUCAGACCAAGAACCCAGCAAUUCCCAACACACAGGGACCAGCUUCUUUCCUAACUCACUUAGGCUCUUCGUGCUGCUCUGGCAACUAACACCCUUGGCUGCAGGGGCUUGGACACUACCCUUAGUCACUGACAAUUGUGUGAAGGCUGCUGUCGUUAACUUCACUUGAUCACCUUAGGCUCCUGUGAAGUGGUGAGCAAUUCAAACAAAUUCCUGUCGUCAAAUCAUGCUGGAGUGCAAUGGCGUGAUUAUGGCUCACUGCAGCCUUGACCUCCUGGACCCAGGUGAUCCUCCCACUUUAGCCUUUCAAGUAGCUGGGACUACAGGUGUGUGCCACAAUACCCGGCUAAUUUUUUAAAAAUUUUAAUAAAGACAGGGUCUUGCUAUGUUGUUCAUGCUGGUCUAGAACCCUGGGCCUCAAGAAGUCCUCCUGCCUCAGCCUCCCAAAAUGCUGGGGCCAAGAAGAAAGAACAGAUCUGGAGGUGGAGAUUUUGGAGGAUCAUAACAAAAGAGGAAAUAUGUAAAGCCAUGAGACUGGACUUGAUCACUACGAGAGCAGGCCUGAGGAACCAAGGAGAGCCCUUGACAGCGGGCAGGAAGAGGAGGAGAAAGAAGUGACUUUUAUUGAGCACCUACUGCAUUCCAAGCACUGCACAAGGCACUGUGUGUACAGAGACACAUAAGAUGCUGUCUCAGUCCUGAAUAGACAUCAGCUAGCAUGAAGAAAUCCCACAAAAACACAGUAUCAAGAAGGAAGAGGAGAAGGUGGAGCCAGAUAGAGAAGGAGGAAAAAUAAACAAACGGAAUUACAGCAAAACAAGGGUAGUGAGAAGCAUUAAGAAGAAAAGAAAGAGCACUUGGAGGUCUGCUUGGAGAUCCCUGAGGUUUUUCACAGGCACAAUGUCCUUAUUUGGGAGCCUCAAAAUACCAGACUAACAUUGCUCAAAGCAGCUUUGGGAAGAGGGCAGGUGUCUGAGAUGCUGAGAGGCCAACUGAGCAGUUUUUUAGCUGGAGCCAUGGGCCACACCAGGAACAAACCACUGGACCAAAUUGACUCAGGACACCUGCUCUGGACCCAGUUUCUUCUCAUGUCUCCUCACCCCUAACUCUGCCCACCACCUCCCACUUCCUCUCUGUUCCCCAUCCCAUCCCAGGUUUGUAUUUAAAUUUCUGCAUAAUGCAUGUUCUCUGCAUGUUCUGAAGUACUUUCCAUCAAGUCCUUCAUUUUAAAAGUGUUUCUUUUAAAUGAAGCUGUGCAUAACCUCUUUUUGAGGCUCUCUUUGGCUUUUCUUGCACAAUUUUAAAUUGACCAGGUCUACUUGCAAAAAUAGACACUUUUUCUGCUC
rnacentral:lncRNA from 1 species